AGCCAUGCGUUGAGCACAUAGCGAACUAUUCUUUCGCCUUUUACUAAAGAAUACCGUGUGCGCGGUGCUUUAAGUGGCAUACGCCAAUUUUUUCAGAAAGGUGCACCUCUGUGGUGCCCU